rnacentral:rRNA from 1 species
CCUACGGGGGGCAGCAGUGAGGAAUAUUGGUCAAUGGACGAGAGUCUGAACCAGCCAAGUAGCGUGAAGGAUGACUGCCCUAUGGGUUGUAAACUUCUUUUAUAUGGGAAUAAAAUGUUCCACGUGUGGGAUUUUGUAUGUACCAUAUGAAUAAGGAUCGGCUAACUCCGUGCCAGCAGCCGCGGUAAUACGGAGGAUCCGAGCGUUAUCCGGAUUUAUUGGGUUUAAAGGGGGCGUAGGUGGAUUGUUAAGUCAGUUGUGAAAGUUUGCGGCUCAACCGUAAAAUUGCAGUUGAUACUGGCAGUCUAGAGAACAGUAGAGGUAGGCGGAAUUCGUGGUGUAGCGGUGAAAUGCUUAGAUAUCACGAAGAACUCCGAUUGCGAAGGCAGCUCACUGGACUGCAACUGACACUGAGGCUCGAAAGUGUGGGUAUCAAACAGGAUUAGAUAUCCCUGUAGUC